UACGUAGGGUGCAAGCGUUGUCCGGAAUUAUUGGGCGUAAAGAGCUCGUAGACGGUCUGUCGCGUCGGAUGUGAAAAUCCAGGGCUCAACCCUGGACCUGCAUUCGAUACGGGCAGACUAGAGUUCGGUAGGGGAGACUGGAAUUCCUGGUGUAGCGGUGAAAUGCGCAGAUAUCAGGAGGAACAUCGGUGGCGAAGGCGGGUCUCUGGGCCGAAACUGACGCUGAGGAGCGAAAGCGUGGGGAGCAAACAGG
rnacentral:rRNA from 1 species